GUCUGUAGCUUAAUUGGUAAAAGUGUCGUUAGCUCGCAAACUGGUGAUUGUAGGUUCAAUCCCUGCUAGCGGCC